rnacentral:rRNA from 1 species
CCUACGGGGGGCAGCAGUGGGGAAUAUUGGACAAUGGGGGCAACCCUGAUCCAGCCAUGCCGCGUGAGUGAUGAAGGCCUUCGGGUUGUAAAGCUCUUUUGGCGGGGACGAUGAUGACGGUACCCGCAGAAUAAGCCCCGGCUAACUUCGUGCCAGCAGCCGCGGUAAGACGAAGGGGGCUAGCGUUGUUCGGAAUUACUGGGCGUAAAGCGCGUGUAGGCGGUUUGCCAAGUUGGGUGUGAAAGCCUUGAGCUCAACUCAAGAAAUGCACUCAGUACUGGCAGACUAGAGGACCGGAGAGGAUAGUGGAAUUCCCAGUGUAGUGGUGAAAUACGUAGAGAUUGGGAAGAACACCAGUGGCGAAGGCGGCUAUCUGGACGGUUUCUGACGCUAAGACGCGAAAGCGUGGGGAGCAAACAGGAUUAGAUACCCUGGUAGUC